AUUGAACGCUGGCGGCAGGCCUAACACAUGCGAGUCGAGCGGAUGAAGGGAGCUUGCUCCUGGAUUCAGCGGCGGACGGGUGAGUAAUGCCUAGGAAUCUGCCUGGUAGUGGGGGAUAACGUCCGGAAACGGGCGCUAAUACCGCAUACGUCCUGAGGGAGAAAGUGGGGGAUCUUCGGACCUCACGCUAUCAGAUGAGCCUAGGUCGGAUUAGCUAGUUGGUGGGGUAAAGGCCUACCAAGGCGACGAUCCGUAACUGGUCUGAGAGGAUGAUCAGUCACACUGGAACUGAGACACGGUCCAGACUCCUACGGGAGGCAGCAGUGGGGAAUAUUGGACAAUGGGCGAAAGCCUGAUCCAGCCAUGCCGCGUAUGUGAAGAAGGUCUUCGGAUUGUAAAGCACUUUAAGUUGGGAGGAAGGGCAGUAAGUUAAUACCUUGCUGUUUUGACGUUACCAACAGAAUAAGCACCGGCUAACUUCGUG
rnacentral:rRNA from 1 species